rnacentral:rRNA from 1 species
CCUACGGGAGGCAGCAGUAGGGAAUUUUCGUCAAUGGGCGCAAGCCUGAACGAGCAAUGCCGCGUGAACGAGGAAGGUCUUCGGAUCGUAAAGUUCUGUUGAAGGGGAAAAAGAGCGGAGAGAGGAAAUGAACUCCGAUUGAUAUUACCCUUCGAGGAAGUCACGGCUAACUACGUGCCAGCAGCCGCGGUAAUAGGUAGGUGGCGGGCGGUAUUGGGUAUGAUUGGGCGUAAAGGGUGCGUUGGCGGCCUGCAAAGUCGGGAGUGAACGGUACCGGCUCAACGGGUAUAGGCUCUGGAAACUGGCGGGCUAGAGAGCAGGAGAGGUAGGUGGAA